rnacentral:rRNA from 1 species
AUACGUAGGGUGCGAGCGUUGUCCGGAAUUACUGGGCGUAAAGAGCUCGUAGGUGGUUUGUCGCGUCGUCUGUGAAAUUCCGGGGCUUAACUCCGGGCGUGCAGGCGAUCCGGGCAUAACUUGAGUACUGUAGGGGAGACUGGAAUUCCUGGUGUAGCGGUGAAAUGCGCAGAUAUCAGGAGGAACACCGGUGGCGAAGGCGGGUCUCUGGGCAGUAACUGACGCUGAGGAGCGAAAGCAUGGGUAGCGAACAGGAUUAGAUACCCUGGUAGUCCAUGCCGUAAACGGUGGGCGCUAGGUGUAGGGGUCUUCCACGACUUCUGUGCCGUAGCUAACGCAUUAAGCGCCCCGCCUGGGGAGUACGGCCGCAAGGCUAAAACUCAAAUGAAUUGACGGGG